rnacentral:rRNA from 1 species
GUGCAGCAGGCGCGAAUCCUCCGCAAUGCGCGAAAGCGCGACGGGGUUACCCCGAGUGCCGUCCGCUGAGGACGGCUUUUGCCCAGUGUAGCCAGCUGGGCGAAUAAGGAGAGGGCAAGUCUGGUGUCAGCCGCCGCGGUAAUACCAGCUCUCCGAGUGGUGGGGACGCUUAUUGGGCCUAAAGCAUCCGUAGCCGGUCUGGCAAGUCCCUUGUUAAAUCCAACGAUUCAAUCGUUGGACUGCAAGGGGAUACUGCCAGACUAGGGGGCGGGAGAGGCCGACGGUAUUCCCGGGGUAGGGUGAAAUCCUAUAAUCCCGGGAGGACCACCAGUGGCGAAGGCUGUCGGCUAGAACGCGCCCGACGGUGAGGGAUGAAAGCUGGGGGAGCGAACGGAUUAGAUACCCCGGUAGU